AUUGAACGCUGGCGGCAUGCCUUACACAUGCAAGUCGGAACAGCAGCGGACCUUCGGGUGCCGGCGAGUGGCGAACGGGUGAGUAAUAUAUCGGAACGUACCUUUCAGUGGGGGUAUAACGUAGCGAAAGUUACGCUAAUACCGCAUAUUCUGUGAGCAGGAAAGCAGGGGAUCGCAAGACCUUGCGCUGAUUGAGCGGCCGAUAUCAGAUUAGCUAGUUGGUGAGGUAAAGGCUCACCAAGGCGACGAUCUGUAGCGGGUCUGAGAGGAUGAUCCGCACACUGGAACUGAGACACGGUCCAGACUCCUACGGGAGGCAGCAGUGGGGAAUUUUGGACAAUGGGCGCAAGCCUGAUCCAGCCAUGCCGCGUCGAGUGAAG
rnacentral:rRNA from 1 species